rnacentral:rRNA from 1 species
GCCUGAUCCAGCAAUGCCGCGUGUGUGAAGAAGGCCUUCGGGUUGUAAAGCACUUUUGUCCGGAAAGAAAUCCUUGGCUCUAAUACAGUCGGGGGAUGACGGUACCGGAAGAAUAAGCACCGGCUAACUACGUGCCAGCAGCCGCGGUAAUACGUAGGGUGCGAGCGUUAAUCGGAAUUACUGGGCGUAAAGCGUGCGCAGGCGGUUUGCUAAGACCGAUGUGAAAUCCCCGGGCUCAACCUGGGAACUGCAUUGGUGACUGGCAGGCUAGAGUAUGGCAGAGGGGGGUAGAAUUCCACGUGUAGCAGUGAAAUGCGUAGAGAUGUGGAGGAAUACCGAUGGCGAAGGCAGCCCCCUGGGCCAAUACUGACGCUCAUGCACGAAAGCGUGGGGAGCAAACAGGAUUAGAUACCCUGGUAGUCCACGCCCUAAACGAUGUCAACUAGUUGUUGGGGAUUCAUUUCCUUAGUAACGUAGCUAACGCGUGAAGUUGACCGCCUGGGGAGUACGGUCGCAAGAUUAAAACUCAAAGGAAUUGACGGGGACCCGCACAAGCGGUGGAUGAUGUGGAUUAAUUUCGAUGCAACGCGAAAAACCUUACCUACCCUUUGACAUGGUCGGAAUCCUG